rnacentral:rRNA from 1 species
CCCCUACGGGAGGCAGCAGUGGGGAAUAUUGCGCAAUGGGGGCAACCCUGACGCAGCCAUGCCGCGUGAAUGAAGAAGGCCUUCGGGUUGUAAAGCUCUGUUAAUCGGGACGAAAGGCCUUCUUGCGAACAGUUAGAAGGAUUGACGGUACCGGAAUAGAAAGCCACGGCUAACUACGUGCCAGCAGCCGCGGUAAUGGGG